UGACACUGUCUUCCUCAGCUAUAUGGAUAUAACCACUAGUUUAUAAUCAGAGGGAGGAAGGGCCAGAUCAUUUCUAAACUGUUCCAAAGGGCAGAAGCACGUUAGAUAAAGUGCAUCUUAGCCAAGGACAGUGUGAGCGUGACCAGGCCCACCCUGACCGUCGCCCUGCCCAAGAUGGCACACCUGUCUACAGCAAAACAGCGCAGCACCAGACAACCCACGCAUCCCUGUGUACAUCCAUGCCUAACAUCUGUCCAGCCAACAGUCUCCAUGCCUACGUCCCAUACGCUGACCCCACCCCCUUUCUCCAACACCCAUAAACAAUGUGCACCGACACGCAACUGAACCCAAACAGUCUGGACAUUGCAGAGCAGCAAGCAUGUUUGCCCCACAGGUGUGGAGGGCUCCGCCCCUCCUGUUCCUCGUCUGGCAGCAGCGUCUGGCCCCUCUCCUCAGCGGGAGAGGGUGUGGAGGGUGCCUGGCGAGCCCCACUGCUGCUCCCUUCAAAUGCUUGUAGCCGCAGUUGUGUGAACUUAAUUAAAAGUCUAUUGAGACUACAAGUGGGAGUGAAUGAGGAUAAACACAGGAUAAUGUUUGAGUGUAAACAAAGAGAAUGCUCUCACGCACAUGCACAGACACAAUCAAAAUACACUGCAGAGCCAAAUAAUGAAGUGUUAAUUCAGUCACGCAAGUAAGUAAAGCAUUGUGUUGUAUUGUUUUGUUGGAAUUUUAACUGGUGCAACAUAAUAGAAAAGUGGAACUGGCUAGACUGCAGUUCUCCCCACAGGUUUACCUGUCAAUUACACCCACUGAGAUUCUUGAUUCUAUGUUUGUAAUGAGCUUGUUUCCAAUAAAUAAUGGAUCACAGAUAAAUGGAUGAAUAAUAGGAAUGUGAAUCCACCUCAGAAAAAUAGUCCAAGUGAUAUUGUGAUGAAGUGAUGUUGACUACACACCCACACAGCCAUGCUGACUACUGUACACACCCACACAGUGAUGUUGACUACAUAUUCACACAGUUAUGUUGACUACACACCCACAUAGUGCGCAUGUACCAACAGUUGAUUUCUUAUUUGCACACCAGCCACCUGAGGGGAGAAGUAUUUCAUUUCAUUGAUCGGUGACAUCUAUGGAGUCACUGCCACAGACACACAUACAUACACACAUACUCUCCCCACAGAUUGUUCAUUUAGUUUAAAUCUACAUGUUUAAAGGUUAAAUGUGAUGCAUUAGUAUGCUGCGUCUACCCUGCCUUUUCAUGUUUUAGUCUAUUGGAGUUUAAGUGCCUGUCGUCUUCAUGAUGUAUCUAGUAUUUUAUCCUUCCACCAUUCACCCCUCUAGUCAGUCCUUCCUGGUUUCAC